AGUAAAGUAGACUAAAGGAAAGUUACCAGACUCAUAAUCUGGGGAAGAAGGUUCAAUUCCUUCCUUUACAA
rnacentral:tRNA from 1 species